UCCAGGAUGGCCGAGUGGUUAUGGCACCAGACUGCUAUUUCGAAAUCGCAGGUUCGAGUCCUGCUCCUGGAU
rnacentral:tRNA from 1 species